rnacentral:ncRNA from 1 species
UCCACUGCGAAGUGGAAUCUGAAGGAAGCUGGCGGCAAAGUUCCGGCCCGAGGAACACGAACACUAUCAGGCAGAUGCAGUGAGGACGAGUCUGCAUCACAAGACGAAGUCCAAAGAUUACACGGACACGGCACUGUAAAUGGUGCGGGUAUAUGGAACGGAGGUUUAUCGU